rnacentral:rRNA from 1 species
GAUGAACGCUGGCGGCGUGCUUAACACAUGCAAGUCGAACGGACUCAUAUUGAAACCUAGUGAUGUAUGAGUUAGUGGCGGACGGGUGAGUAACGCGUGGAAAACCUGCCGUAUACUGGGGGAUAACACUUAGAAAUAGGUGCUAAUACCGCAUAAGCGCACAGCUUCGCAUGAAGCAGUGUGAAAAACUCCGGUGGUAUACGAUGGUUCCGCGUCUGAUUAGCUAGUUGGCGGGGUAACGGCCCACCAAGGCGACGAUCAGUAGCCGGCCUGAGAGGGUGAACGGCCACAUUGGGACUGAGACACGGCCCAA